GGGCCCGAGAGCCAAGGGGGCCGCAGUGGUUUGCACCCACCUGUGGGCAGGUUCAAUUCCUGCCGGGUCCA
rnacentral:tRNA from 1 species